UUAAAGAGUAUGUGUGUGUUAUUAUUAAACAAUACAUGGUUAUUAUUAAACAAUACAUGGUGUGGUGUAUGUGUGCUCUUCAAUGUGAGUGCAUAACCCUGUGUUAUGAAUACAUAACUUGUAUAACCUUAUUUUAUCACACAUAGAUGCAUAACAAACAGUUUUAUAGGAACUGGUAACAUAAAACAUGGUUAUAUGAACUUCACUCUUAAUCAACUUAUGCAGUUUAACACUUUUAUCUGAUUAAAGAUUAAAUCUUACACUACAGUUAGCACCCAGCGUCUAACUCUGCUAAACUCUGAGCAACCAGCUUCCUCUGAGUUUCACCUUUGGAACAAAGGACCCAACAAAGACUGCACCUGGAACCAUCUUCCCAGCCUUCUUCUGCCAGCUAACAAAGCAGCACACCACCAAGUGACUCUUUCUCCCAUCCAUUCAAGGAUCGCAUGCCACCGGCCCUGUGACACAGAGAGUUUACGUGAGAACUGGCUGUUACUGCCAAGCAUUUCAGCCUAAGUAAAAGGGAAAAGGAAGAGAGACAGCAACACAGAGCUGCUUGAAUACCUGGCGGAGGGUGGAUGAGAGGUUCUUGCAGCACAGCAAGGACCUGAAUGAUGAGCUGCUGCAGAAGCUGGAGACUGACACCAGUGUGUUUCUUGGACUGAUGGGACGCAUAGUAUCUGUGAUGGAGGCCCAUGCCCAGAAAUGAGCAGUUCUGUUUCAUGGGAAGUUUUAGUUUUGCACAUUCAAUGUACACUUGUCACUUUUAUCAUUA